GGAUGAGCGCUAGCUACAGGCUUAACACAUGCAAGUCGAGGGGCAGCAUGGUCUUAGCUUGCUAAGGCCGAUGGCGACCGGCGCACGGGUGAGUAACACGUAUCCAACCUGCCGUCUACUCUUGGACAGCCUUCUGAAAGGAAGAUUAAUACAAGAUGGCAUCAUGAGUCCGCAUGUUCACAUGAUUAAAGGUAUUCCGGUAGACGAUGGGGAUGCGUUCCAUUAGAUAGUAGGCGGGGUAACGGCCCACCUAGUCUUCGAUGGAUAGGGGUUCUGAGAGGAAGGUCCCCCACAUUGGAACUGAGACACGGUCCAAACUCCUACGGGAGGCAGCAGUGAGGAAUAUUGGUCAAUGGGCGAGAGCCUGAACCAGCCAAGUAGCGUGAAGGAUGACUGCCCUAUGGGUUGUAAACUUCUUUUAUAAAGGAAUAAAGUCGGGUAUGGAUACCCGUUUGCAUGUACUUUAUGAAUAAGGAUCGGCUAACUCCGUGCCAGCAGCCGCGGUAAUACGGAGGAUCCGAGCGUUAUCCGGAUUUAUUGGGUUUAAAGGGAGCGUAGAUGGAUGUUUAAGUCAGUUGUGAAAGUUUGCGGCUCAACGUAAAAAUUGCAGUUGAUACUGGAUAUCUUGAGUGCAGUUGAGGCAGGCGGAACUCGUGGUGUAGCGGUGAAAUGCUUAGAUAUCACGAAGAACUCCGAUUGCGAAGGCAGCCUGCUAAGCUGCAACUGACAUUGAGGCUCGAAAGUGUGGGUAUCAAACAGGAUUAGAUACCCUGGUAGUCCACACGGUAAACGAUGAAUACUCGCUGUUUGCGAUAUACUGCAAGCGGCCAAGCGAAAGCGUUAAGUAUUCCACCUGGGGAGUACGCCGGCAACGGUGAAACUCAAAGGAAUUGACGGGGGCCCGCACAAGCGGAGGAACAUGUGGUUUAAUUCGAUGAUACGCGAGGAACCUUACCCGGGCUUAAAUUGCAGAUGAAUUACGGUGAAAGCCGUAAGCCGCAAGGCAUCUGUGAAGGUGCUGCAUGGUUGUCGUCAGCUCGUGCCGUGAGGUGUCGGCUUAAGUGCCAUAACGAGCGCAACCCUUGUUGUCAGUUACUAACAGGUUCCGCUGAGGACUCUGACAAGACUGCCAUCGUAAGAUGUGAGGAAGGUGGGGAUGACGUCAAAUCAGCACGGCCCUUACGUCCGGGGCUACACACGUGUUACAAUGGGGGGUACAGAGGGCCGCUACCACGCGAGUGGAUGCCAAUCCCCAAAACCUCCCUCAGUUCGGACUGGAGUCUGCAACCCGACUCCACGAAGCUGGAUUCGCUAGUAAUCGCGCAUCAGCCACGGCGCGGUGAAUACGUUCCCGGGCCUUGUACACACCGCCCGUCAAGCCAUGGGAGCCGGGGGUACCUGAAGUGCGUAACCGCGAGGAGCGCCCUAGGGUA
rnacentral:rRNA from 1 species